UCCUCCAGAGAACCACUGGCCACGUCUCCUCAAAAGUUUUCAACCAUUUGAUUUGCUAUCGAGUGGCUCAGAAACGUUGUAGCUGAUUCAGCUGAUUCUGUCAUGAAUUACCUGCUCCUGUGAUUUCUUAUUGCGUAGCCACCCAGACAAAUAUUUGUGUCUGCCUUCCUGGCUUUCUUUUCCCCACGCCUUUCUUCCUGAUACUUCUCAUCUCCUUCCCAACUCUUCCCGUCUCCAGAAUCGCGCCGAGCGCCGCAUCCGUUCCCGCCUCCAUCCUCACUGUCGCCCUCAGCGAGGCCGCGCUCGGCAGUGCCGUCGUCGUUCCCCACCAACGUCGUCGCUGCCGACCACUGUGACGCCCUCUCCGGUCUUGGGUCGGCACAAACCCGACCUAGGGUUUCGGCCCUUCAUCAGGUGGUAGCAGCAGCACCGACGGCCCCCUCCCUUAUCCUCCACCCCGCGUGGCGUAGCCCUGUGACAUGGCUCCUCGCAGGGCGUGACGCGGGUGGCGUGGGUCCCAUGCGGCGGCGCGACUUGGGCAGACAUCAUCGUUGGCCACGGUCGUCUCUUUCCAUGUGAGCUCCUGCACACAGGCGGCGCGGCUCUGCUCUCCCUCGAUCCAUCCACACGUUGGUUUACUCUCCCUCUUUCCCUUCCUCCCUCCCUCCCCCUCUCUCCUAAUGUGGGAUAUGCAUGGAUGCAGGUUCGAUUUCACCGUAGAUGUGGUGUUUUAAUUCUAUUCUCCCACCAAUCUACACAUGGUUAUUGUGAAUUGUUGUUGUUAUUAACCCCUAGAAUACCCGUGGAGCUCCUCCAGAGAACCACUGGCCAUGUCUCCUCAAAAGUUUUCAGCACUUUGAUUCACUAUCCUGUGGUUCAUAAACGUUGUAGCUGAUUGAGAUGAUUCUGUCACGAUACCUGCUCCUAUGAUUUGCUAUGUUCCUUUGGGUUUACUUUCUGCUUAUGCUUGAUUUUUACAGCUUCUGCUGUAAGUCCUGAACUCUAAGCACAUGAGCAUGCCCACUAAUAUUGGUUUCACACUAUCUGUACUGCAGUACUGAAGUUUUUGGGUUCAUUGUUUCCAUUUCAGCCAUGUGCGAUGAUGAGUAUGAUUUACAUCUACAAUUAAAGGAAUGGGCUACUGCUAUGAUGAUUGCACCAUAAUUUAGGUUUAUUUGUGUUCAACAUAAUAAUCAUUAUGUAGCUUUCCAUAGGUUACAUCUUGAUGUUUUUAGAUGCCUGAGGCAAUGCUCGUGACCUAAGAUCAGUCUUCCUCUUACAUUGUUUUUCUAUAUUGACAACUUACGCAAUCACCAUGGCCAGUGUUGGUGCUAUUUUUGCCAACUCUUUCUAGCUGUCCCAUGAUAGCAGAGGCAAUGGUCAAUUGGUUGUCUAGGUUUUCUUGCAUCUAUUCCUACCUCAUCUGUUUUGUUUACUUGGUACACAUCAAUAAGAGAUAAUACUGAUUGCCUGUCACAUACUAUGCGGCUGAAAUUUGCUCUUGGUUAUGAGAUCUGAGGUUGCGUUGCCAUUGCCUGUGAUAAUUUCUUUCUUUGCCUGUUUGUUACCUAUGAGCAUUGUCUAUGAUGACAUACUAUUGCUUUUGAGCACAUGCCCUAUCCCGAUGAUUACAUUGGCAUACACUUUGGUUGUGUGCAGUCACUUUUAGUUUACCUAUUUCUUUCAUUUUUUUGGGGUAUGAAUCUUGUGCUUUGUUGUGCUCUAAUUGCUUAUAUCUUGGUCCAAUUAAUGUUUUUGUUGAUAUUUUUGCGAACAUUGGUGAUGCUUGGCUGGUACUUGGUAAGAAAACACCUUAUGUAUCUUUUUUGACCUAGAGCAGUAUGAUAUAUAUUUGUUGCUUAUGUAAGAAGAGGGUGGCAAAAUCGUGACACGCAUCAAUGGCAUGACUAUUGACGUCACAAUUGAGAGGAUUGAGCAAAUCCUUGGCCUUCCACGCGGAACUGAGGAGGGAAAGAGUGUGACUUUGCCGACAUCUGCACCCAACCAAGUUAUUGAUUUGUUCUUGCAGCAUGGCAAAAGCAAAAAGGCCAUCCCAUCAGCAAAAAAGCCCACUCUUAAAAAUAUGGCUAUUGGUGCAGCUGACUUACUAGAUUUGAUGGAGGUUGUUGACACAAAAAUGAAAGUUAGGUGCUUUCUGAUGAUCGUAUUGAACAAGUUCUUGAUUCCGUCGAGUGGCUCUCAUCUAAAUGACAGGCAGGCUCAAAUUGCUUGGGACCUUGAUUCUGUAGUAAAAAUUGAUUGGUGCAAACUGGUAUUUGAGGACUUGAAAGAUUGCAUAAAGAACAGGCAUGACGACAACAACAAUUGUUCUGGUUGUUCAAUUGUUCUAUUGAUUGCUGUCUUCGAGGCUUUAGUGCCAUCUAAAUGUCCAACGACAGAACCAUCUGUCAUUGGUUACGACGAUGAAAAGUUGAAACUACUUCUUGAACAAAUUAGAGACAAGGUUGGUGUCAAGAAAGAACGUGGCAUUGAUGUUAGCAACAAAGCUCAGCCCACGGAGCAAAAUAGGUCUUUUCUGGAGUUUGAAGAGGAAAUUCAUGCAAUUAUGAAGGAAAUGGCUGAUCAUCUUGAUGAUGUGAAAUGUAUGGUGCCAGACGGAAAACGGGAAUCAAUUCAGUGCAGCCUCGGAACCUUCAAUACACUCACAAAGAGAAAGAAUUGCUGGAACCAAACACAAGUACAAAAUCACUGGACGCGGAGCUUACGGAGCUUACGGAAGAAAAAGUAAAGGAUGUUACAAAGGUUUUGCUCUUUUCUAUUAUAUUUUUAUUUGAUUUAGUUGAUUCUGUCAAUGGAGCUCCCUGAAACCCUGAAUUUGACAAGUUUUUUUCAGAUAUUUAUGCCCGUAAAUGUAACAAAAGUGCACUGGAUAUUAGUUGUGAUGGACUUUCAAAAAAGUGAAGUGCAAAUCCUAGACUCCUUGAAAUCAAAUACUUAUGUUGCCCCUGCUUAUCUAGUGACAACAUCGCUGGAGAUGUAUUUAAUGAUCAAAUUCGGCCUUGCUACUGGCUUUCCUAAGAGGAGGAACUUAGACUUGACAGAGCAGACAAACACAUGUGACUGUGGGCUCCAUGUCCUCUUAUACAUUCAGCGCUAUGGGUGCAGUGACAUGUAUGGAAUUGAUGAGGUUAGUAACAUGCUUGUUAAGUAACAGUGUGAUUUGUUUUUAUUUUACAAAAUAUACUUGUGCCUUUAAAUGUAGGAACAAAUUUUACGUUACCGUAAGCAGCUUGCUUAUGAGCUCAAGCACGAAUCCAAUGAUCAUCCUUCCACAUCAACCCUGCACAUUGAUGAAUCACCA